NNNNNNGAAGUUUCCCUCAGGAUAGCUGGAACUUACGGCAGUUUUAUCAGGUAAAGCGAAUGAUUAGAGGUCUUAGGGUUAAAACAACCUUAACCUAUUCUCAAACUUUAAAUUGGUAAGAAGUCCGACUUGCUUAAUUGAAGCCGGACAGUGAAUGCGAGUUCCUAGUGGGCCAUUUUUGGUAAGCAGAACUGGCGAUGCGGGAUGAACCGAACGCGCGGUUAAGGUGCCAAAGUCGACGCUCAUCAGACCCCACAAAAGGUGUUGGUUGCUCUAGACAGCAGGACGGUGGCCAUGGAAGUUGGAAUCCGCUAAGGAGUGUGUAACAACUCACCUGCCGAAGCAACUAGCCCUGAAAAUGGAUGGCGCUCAAGCGUCGCACCUAUACCGUGCCGUCGGAGCAGAUGCGAAGCUCCGACGAGUAGGAGGGCGUGGGGGUCGUGACGCAGCCUCUGGCGCGAGCCUGGGUGAAACGGCCUCCAGUG
rnacentral:rRNA from 1 species